CCUAUGCACUCCUACGGGAGGCAGCAGUGGGGAAUAUUGCACAAUGGGCGCAAGCCUGAUGCAGCCAUGCCGCGUGUAUGAAGAAGGCCUUCGGGUUGUAAAGUACUUUCAGCAGUGAGGAAGGUGGGUAUGUUAAUAGCAUAUUCAUUUGACGUUAGCUGCAGAAGAAGCACCGGCUAACUCCGUGCCAGCAGCCGCGGUAAUACGGAGGGUGCGAGCGUUAAUCGGAAUUACUGGGCGUAAAGCGCAUGCAGGUGGUUUGUUAAGUCAGAUGUGAAAGCCCGGGGCUCAACCUCGGAAUUGCAUUUGAAACUGGCAAACUAGAGUACUGUAGAGGGGGUAGAAUUUCAGGUGUAGCGGUGAAAUGCGUAGAGAUCUGAAGGAAUACCGGUGGCGAAGGCGGCCCCCUGGACAGAUACUGACACUCAGAUGCGAAAGCGUGGGGAGCAAACAGGAUUAGAUACCCUGGUAG
rnacentral:rRNA from 1 species